GACAUUGAUAGGCCGGGUGUGUAAGCGCAGCGAUGCGUUGAGCUAACCGGUACUAAUGAACCGUGAGGCUUAACCUUACAACGCCGAAG
rnacentral:rRNA from 1 species